rnacentral:rRNA from 1 species
UACGAGGGGUGCAAGCGUUGUUCGGAAUUACUGGGCGUAAAGCGUAUGUAGGCGGCCAUUUAAGUCAGAUGUGAAAGCCUGGGGCUCAACCCCAGAAGUGCAUCUGAAACUAUUUGGCUUGAGUAUGGGAGAGGGUAGCGGAAUUCCUGGUGUAGUGGUAAAAUACGUAGAUAUCAGGAGGAACAUCGGUGGCGAAGGCGGCUACCUGGCCCAAUACUGACGCUGAGAUACGAAAGCAUGGGGAUCAAACAGG